rnacentral:rRNA from 1 species
UGGCGGACGGGUGAGUAACGCGUGGGUAACCUGCCUCAUACAGGGGGAUAACAGUUAGAAAUGGCUGCUAAUACCGCAUAAGACCACAGCACCGCAUGGUGCAGGGGUAAAAACUCCGGUGGUAUGAGAUGGACCCGCGUCUGAUUAGCUGGUUGGUGGGGUAACGGCCUACCAAGGCGACGAUCAGUAGCCGACCUGAGAGGGUGACCGGCCACAUUGGGACUGAGACACGGCCCAA